AGCUCGAGGGGCCGGGGCAGCUUGUCGGAGACUAUUUUCAAUGUACAUACCUUUGGGACUUCUUGGUCCUGGUUCUUCUUGGAUCUUUUAACGGACCUCUAGUCGUCACGGUACGUGUGGCUGUAACCGUUUAAAAUUCAUCGACGUUCCUUCUCUAAACAAACUAUUCAUCGACGUUCCUUCUCUAAACAAACUAUUCAUCGACGUUCCUUCUCUAAACAAACUAUUUUUAAAUGCAAUAAUCGUACGUUAAUCAACGAAGCUAAAGUUAGCUGACUAACGUGCACAAAACGUUUAUGUAAAAUGGUUCGAGCCGACUUUACGUAACUGGAUUUAACGCUAGUUCACCUUUAUUCGCUGGGUUAACCGUUAUCCGUUGAAUAUACAAUCGAAGUAUUUAGGGAUAUCAAGUCGACAGACUGUUUCAGAUUGGAUUGCUAUGAAAAAAGGCAAUUUGAAACCAACUUUGGUCGACUAGAUAUUCCUAAAUACAUCAUUUUUAUAAACAACGAAUAUACGUUACCAUGUUAAUAAAGGUAAACUCCCGUUACACACACGAAAAACGAGACAUAGUCAUCUGCAAUGUCUGUCAUUUAUAUCCGCUAAUUUCGACUGCACAUAAAGUUAAUUAGACAUGUUGACUUACCUAUAAAACCAUGCGACUCAUCAGGCAAAGUUAGAGAACAAGAAAUAUUGAAAAUCUAACGUUGCACAAGUUAAAAUACACCGGUUCACGAGCGUCGUCUAGGGUACUGAGUCCCUCUUGCGGAUUCAAUAUUUACUACACGCGAAGAUUGUACUUUGUCGGCCUUUCAGAUUCAAGACUUCACUGUAAAGAAACAACCAAUGAAAAUGAAAAACGUCACAUAACUCUUUUAUGUAACAUGAAAACCAACCUACCUUUUAUGACGUCAUAAAUGUCACCUUAGACUCCUGCGUAACUUCUCUAUGACGUCAUAAUCAUAUUUACAGUUGAGAAAAUUUGGAAGACAAGUGAUCACACGCGUUUUUGCGUUCCUCUAACUUGUCAUUGUUUCUCGAUUGAUUUUUCGACUUCGUUUAGAAUCAAGAUGUUCGGAUUGAUUAUGAUCAAUGCUGGAUUGUUGCUGCAGGUUGUAGACAAGCUCUACGGCUAUCUGAAGAGUGACUCACGCUUAACAACGUUAGCGAAACUCCAUCCGCGAAAGUGGAGAAGGAAGACCUUGACGGCCCCACCGACAACACCCCAAACAUCACAGCGGGAGCAAGCGCCUCUGCACCCGUACCUGGACAGCCCAACGAAACCUCCGAGAAGGAGAAAGGUUUUUGCGGGUUUCAACCCGGAUUUUUGGUGCCGAAGAUGAAGGUCACAAAUACGGAGGACGCUAGCGAGGUAAGCGAGACCCCUAGCGAUUUGGAUGGACAAGACAACCCUGGGGAGGCGCCACAGGCAACCAGUGAGGGCGGAGCGGCCAGCAGUGCUGUGGUACCUUUUGUACCGCAAGCCCGUCCCGCCAGAUUGACGCGUCGCCAGCUGCUGUUGGCCAAAUGGCAAGUGUGCCCCGUCCUCAUGUUGGACAACGUUCCCGGAACCAACAGGUACUACGUACGACCUAUAACGGACGGCAGUCAAGAAGCAAGUGGUGAAGAAGCAAGGAAUCUCCUCAGGGACAUGAUAAUCGCUAGACGGGCAUGGGCCGCCGGUGGACUGUAUACGUAGAUUCAGACAGCUGUGACUAAACAAUAAUGUUUGGACUUUAGAUUCAGAAAGAUAAAGUUAUACAAUGCAUUUGUAUUCAGGGGAUCUAGAGUGUUUUCUUUUAAGAUCGGACUUAAAUUUUCCAGGAUUUUGUAUUCCAAUUUUAAGUAUUAGUAUUGGUUUUCAUGAGAUGAUCUAAGUAUAUCAAAAAGUCUUUGUUUGCCCAAAGCAAAUAGAAAAUAAAGUUGUAAUAAUAGAUGGGUUUUAUUGAAGGAACACUCGGCAGCCGGACGGCUGAAUUACAUGUUUUGUACAUUAAAAAGUACAUUGACAAAUCGGGUUUACUUAAUAAUGGGCUAAAAUCACAUAUCAACAUGUAUGUAUAUAUAUACAUAUACGAGCAGUUAGAAUAUUCUGGUUUACCGUUACAAUAUGCUAUUAAGGAGCUGUACAAUGUAAGGGAGUCAGGUUUUAGAGUAUUGUACAGUGCGGGCUGGCAACUGGUCAUUGACAAGUUUGUUUUUUGUGCUGUCUAGUUUCCCUACCACUUAUGUCUCCUCGCAGCCGUGGAAACCAAUGCCUGUACUAUUCAGACUUGUUGAAGUUCUGUAUUUCUUGUUUUAUAGUUUUAAAACUUUCAUGAAUAAAGAAAUGAAGAUCUGAAAACAACUGUUUAACUGUACUUCUACUUCUCUGUUACUGCUAGUUCAUUAUGAUAUAGUUACUAAUGAAAGAAUGAAUGAAGACCUUGAAGGAGUUAAUCAACACCUUUAUUAUACAUUUUACCUUAGGCCACAGCAAGUAAAUUUUAUGGUUGA